AGAGUUUGAUCCUGGCUCAGAUUGAACGCUAGCGGGAUGCCUUACACAUGCAAGUCGAACGGCAGCGCGGACUUCGGUCUGGCGGCGAGUGGCGAACGGGUGAGUAAUGUAUCGGAACGUGCCCAGUAGCGGGGACAACCACUCGAAAGAGUGGCUAAUACCGCAUACGCCCGUACGGGGAAAGGGGGGGAUCGCAAGACCUCUCACUAUUGGAGCGGCCGAUAUCGGAUUAGCUAGUUGGUGGGGUAAAGGCCUACCAAGGCGACGAUCCGUAGCUGGUUUGAGAGGACGACCAGCCACACUGGGACUGAGACACGGCCCAGACUCCUACGGGAGGCAGCAGUGGGGAAUUUUGGACAAUGGGGGAAACCCUGAUCCAGCCAUUCCGCGUGUGCGAUGAAGGCCUUCGGGUUGUAAAGCACUUUUGGCAGGAAAGAAAUCGUGUGGGUUAAUACCCUGCGCGGAUGACGGUACCUGCAGAAUAAGCACCGGCUAACUACGUG
rnacentral:rRNA from 1 species